UUAUUUACACAGUACGUAGCAUAUAUAUCAUUAUACUUAUUACCGCGAGUUAACCCUCAGGGAAAAAGACUACUGGCAUCGCAAAAUUACUACAAAUGAAUACUGAAACCUACUGAAAUCUCAACAGUAAUCAGUAGUGAUUUCGUGGUGCCAGUAAUGUUUUCCCAUACGGGAAUUUCCUUGUCACACUACGGCUUGAUUCCACCAACGUGGUUUAUUGUUUAAAUACGAUUUAACUGUGUGAUUAGCGAAUGAGAUAUGUGAAUAUUGAAGAUAAACGGAGUUUCGGUAUUGUUCUAUGUUGGACGUAUAUGGCCUAACGCUAGUCAAUUUCAAAUAUGAAAAUAGAACGGGGCUAAAAAUAUGAAGUUUGACAUCAAUGGAUUAGUGGUGUUUUCAGGCAAAUACGAAAGGGAACCCUGGAGUCUUGUUAAUGCAGAGUCUAGGAGCUUUGAUCGAUCGUCCGUUUGCUGGCAAAUAUGCAAACCAACGAACCUAUUCGUUUAUCAUCUGACACUUGGAAAUUCGUCAUAUGCGUUGGACCGAUGAGGAAAUGAAAAUUGUCAGAAUAAUCCGACACAAAAAAAAUCAAAACAAAAAUUUAAGUAGGGGGAUGUGAUAGUAGUUAAUCAAUUACUAGGUUAGGGUCGGUAGGUUGAUAAUAUGUUAUACGCUGAUUAUCCACUAUCAAUCUUUUCUCCUUUGAAUUUAGUUAAAUCCCCCCAACGAUAAACGAUCAGAUAAUUUUCUUUUACAAAGCUAAUGUCCUGGAUGGAUCGUACCCACAAACAUUAGACACUGACUGGCAAUCUAAUCAGGUAUUAUAAUGGGAUUCCAGAAAUCCCGAAAUUUAUUGUCCACCAUUAAGUGAAUUUGCUACGGAUGGAAAUAACGAUUAAUUCAUUUAACAGGUCAGAAGAAAUCAAUCUCCUGGAACGCCUGAAAGAAGAUAGUAAUUUGAAAUUUUUCUCCGAGUAAAUUGAUCUAGCUUUAGGAUAACAUAUGGGAUCCUGUUCGGUUGCUGUAAAAGUGACGUUGUAAUAAAAAUCCGAUAACAAUGCCGAAGGAAGAUAAAUAAAAGUAUGAAAACGUGUUUUUCGUUAGUCAGCUGAUUCCUGUAUGACUCACCACGUUUCUGACACCCGAACGCUUUGCCCUUGGGGAAAAGUGGUUUGAGUUUGCGCCAGUCGAUGCUCAACUCGUUUCCCAGGAUCAUCUAGGACAAAGUAGGAAAACGCUUUGGCAAACUUUCACCAAUACCGAGUCCAGUUCCUCACCAGGUCCGAUCUUACGGCGAGGCAAGCCAAGUAACACUGGAACUCCUCAUCCGCAGGAAAGUAUCCAGACUUUGAGAAUAUCCUCUCGUAGUUGGAAAACUCUGAAAAUUUCGUGAC